UUAGUACUCCCUCCGUUCCGAAUUACUUGUCGCAGGUAUGGAUGUAUCUAGAUGUAUUUUAGUUCUAGAUACAUCCAUUUCUGCGACGAGUAAUUUGGAACGGAGGGAGUAGUUA
rnacentral:pre_miRNA from 1 species